AAGUGUCCUUGGGCAAGACAAUGAACCUGGAGGUUGAAGGUUGGUGCCACGUGUCAAUGUGUGCAUAGCCAAGGGUGUCAGACUCCAGGCAUUGAAGGCCAGUGUUCCACAUGUUCUCAUACCAACCGUCCUUAUUGGCCAAACACCUUAACCAGCAGGAAGCCAGCCUCUGGAGGCCUGGAGUUUUACAUCCCUAGGAUAGGCAAAGGGGGUUUCGAUUGUAAAGUGCCUUGACCCUUAAUCAAGGGAAAUGCCAGGAGGAAAGAAGAGAACUUCUGGAUCCCAAAGCAGAGUUUUCCUUGGAAUGCUACCCAAGGCUGCUCUGAAGGAAGAGCUGGAGCAGGCAAGCGGCGCAGCUGCACAAACUACUCGUCAUUUCUGACACAAGCUUCCAUCCUGGGAUUGUGCAAGGAUGCAGGGAGGAGCAACUUCCUGUUUUUCCCCCAUUGCAAAUGGAAGAACUGAGAACCAUUAAAGCUGUCUUUUUUUUUUUAUUUUUGUUUCUCCCUCCAGAAGUUGAAGCCCUCUGCACUGGCACAAGCAACAACGGCCACGCUCUGCAAUGAGAUGACUCAUGCAUUCCUCCACUGCCUUGAGUGCAUUCACCCAGCAGGCGUCCUCCGAAAUGUCAAAGCUUAAAGAUUCCCAGGAGAGUAAUUAUCUGGUAUGGAUAGUCCCUUCUGGUUAAGCAGGAAGCAGCCGAUCGACCGCUGAGCUUUAAGCAAAUAAACGCUCAGAUCUGGGAAAUCCACAGGAUAAGUGAAUGCCAAGCCGAAAACCACACUUUCUAAUUUAGUGUUUGCUUUGUGACAACAAACCCUCAUCUGGUCUUUUUUUUCAGGUAAUUCCAUGCGGGAGAAGGGUCAUCAAUUAUUCAAAUAUGAAGGUUUUAAUCUUGAAAAGGGAUUACCUCAAUAAACCUUUAACACCAGAGAUGUCGCCGGCGACGCCUAAGUAACACACUUUUUUUUUUUUUUUUUACUCUUUGACUGUUCAUGCAAUCAACAUGAAUCAGCUAAUUCAGAUGUGAAGAAAGGACGUUUUCAUUUAGACUAAAGUCAAAUCUUGCUAACUGGCCAUAGUCGCUUCUCUUUGCUUCCAAAUUUGUUGAAAUUUUGUCAGUUGCUUAAACAGCUAGAGUUAUGCUACGUUCACACUGGCUAUGUGACGCACUAAAAGUGCAUUUUUACAUACCUGUUUAGCAUAUGGUGUUCACACUGGACCGUCACAACUAGGAGCGUGUAUUGGCAAGAAUCUGGUGAUACAAUACAUAUCCCGAUAUACGUCUCAUGAAACAAUACAUAUCCUGACAUGCGUUUCACGAUACAAUACAUAUCUCGAAAUAAGACUCACGAUACAAUACAUAUUCCGACA